GAUGUUUCACAACCACAUGUAAAUGAAAUUUCUACAAAUGAACUUCUGAAAACUUUGAAAAGGAAACUCAGUAAGUCUAAAAGAAGUGAAGAUGAUAACAUUAAGAUGAAAAGGUCUGAAUCUAUUGAAUUGGACAAUGAUGUAAUGAUAAAUCAGGUUCUACGUGAUAUCAUACAAAGGGAUCAAAUUAUCAACAGUUUGAAAAAAAAAGCUUAAUAUUCAUCACAACAUAGGUGAUCAAAAUUUGAAGGACAAAAAUGUUGACACUGAUUUGAAGUCUGAUGCAUUCUCUAGAUUCUCAGUCAAAUAUUUCUCAAAAGUUCUUGAUUCUUUAAGUCCACAUCACAAAACAGUCAUUGAAAAUUAUUGUUUUCAAAGCAUGCUGCUAUUUGACAAGUGUUUUGUUCCCAAUUCUUUUGCUCUCUGGAUUACAAAACAAGUAGAUGUGAACUGUUCUGAUAUAGUUUUGGGCCAAAAACUUAUUCCAUUGAACAAGCAAUCUGUCCAUGUUGUGCUAGGCCUCCCUGUUGGUGGUAGUACAAUCCAUUCAAAAUUUGAUUAUGGCAAACAAAAGAUUCUUCAGAUUUUUGGGAAAACUUCUAUUCCUUCUGUCAAGUUCUUUGGAGAAAAGUUAAUUAAAAAUGAAGAACUUCCCGAUGAUCAAAUUCUCAUCUGCUUUAUGAUUGUUUCCUUGAAUUGCUUCCUUUGUCCAAACUCUUCUUUGAUUCCAAGUACAAAAUACCUAAGUGCCUUUGAAGACAUGGACUUAAUUGAAAGUUUGGACUGGUGCAAGUUAGUUUUUGACUGGUUGAUGGAACACAUUAGCAAGAUUGAGAAAUCGAAAACUUUUGGUGGUUGUUUAUUCCAUUUAGCGGUUAAUUACCUGGAUUUUCUCAACUUUGGUUCACAAAAAGUAUUACUUGAUACACCAAUAAUUAAAGUUUGGAAAAGAUCUAUGAUUAAGGACUAUUCCAAAUUUGAUAAAAUAUCUGAAGGAGUGUAUGGAAAAAGACCAGUCAAUGAUAUCGCUUCAA